GCCUUCGUGGUGUAGUGGUCAGCACGCUCGACGCAUAACCGAGAGGUCCAUGGUUCGAUUCCCGGUGAAGGCU
rnacentral:tRNA from 1 species